UACGGCCAUAUCCCGAUGAAACACCGGUUCCUGUACGAUCAACAAUGUUAAGCCAACGUCGAGCCUAGUCAGUACCUAGAUGGGUGACCGUUCAGGUAUGCCAGGUGCUGUAAG